AUGUCUCAACUCUAUAAGUCUAACCACUGCCCUUUGCUUCUAGAAGUUGGAUUCUCACAUAAAAAACAUGCUUCUAUCUUUAAGUACCUUGGAAUGUGGGCCCUUCUUGAUAACUAUGAAGCCUUCAUCGUCAAAUAUUCACAAUCAGAUUAUCUUAUUAUCGUUGAUCGUGAUGGGUCUCUAAUACGUAGCAGCCGAGUUGACAUUGAAAGGUUUCGGUGUAGUGGAUGA